rnacentral:miRNA from 1 species
CAAAGUUGAUCCUGUUUAUGACGUCGAAUAUCGACGUCAUAAACACCAAAGUUGAUCGUGUUUAUGACGUCGAAUAUCGACGUCAUAAACACCAAAG